GACGAACGCUGGCGGCGUGCUUAACACAUGCAAGUCGAACGGAAAGGCCCUGCUUUUGUGGGGUGCUCGAGUGGCGAACGGGUGAGUAACACGUGAGUAACCUGCCCUUGACUUUGGGAUAACUUCAGGAAACUGGGGCUAAUACCGGAUAGGAGCUCCUGCUGCAUGGUGGGGGUUGGAAAGUUUCGGCGGUUGGGGAUGGACUCGCGGCUUAUCAGCUUGUUGGUGGGGUAGUGGCUUACCAAGGCUUUGACGGGUAGCCGGCCUGAGAGGGUGACCGGCCACAUUGGGACUGAGAUACGGCCCAGACGUCUACGGGAGGCAGCAGUGGGGAAUAUUGCAAAAUGGGCGGAAGCCUGAUGCAGCAACGCCGCGUGCGGGAUGACGGCCUUCGGGUUGUAAACCGCUUUCGCCUGUGACGAAGCGUGAGUGACGGUAAUGGGUAAAGAAGCACCGGCUAACUACGUG
rnacentral:rRNA from 1 species